rnacentral:rRNA from 1 species
AUGAACGCUGGCGGCGUGCCUAAUACAUGCAAGUCGAGCGAACAGACGAGGAGCUUGCUCCUCUGACGUUAGCGGCGGACGGGUGAGUAACACGUGGAUAACCUACCUAUAAGACUGGGAUAACUUCGGGAAACCGGAGCUAAUACCGGAUAACAUGUUGAACCGCAUGGUUCAACAGUGAAAGACGGUCUUGCUGUCACUUAUAGAUGGAUCCGCGCCGCAUUAGCUAGUUGGUAAGGUAACGGCUUACCAAGGCAACGAUGCGUAGCCGACCUGAGAGGGUGAUCGGCCACACUGGAACUGAGACACGGUCCAGACUCCUACGGGAGGCAGCAGUAGGGAAUCUUCCGCAAUGGGCGAAAGCCUGACGGAGCAACGCCGCGUGAGUGAUGAAGGUCUUCGGAUCGUAAAACUCUGUUAUUAGGGAAGAACAAAUGUGUAAGUAACUAUGCACGUCUUGACGGUACCUAAGCAGAAAGCCACGGCUAACUACGU